UGUGAAUCCAAAACACAUUUUCCCAGUGAGUACUAUUGCGAAUUAAAUCGACUUUUUCCGACAACGGUCCUGCUGUAAAUCGCGCCGAUGAAUUGAAUUCCAAAGAGCUUCCUCACGUUUCUUCUCGUGUACCAGAUUUCCCCACUUGUCGGCACAAAUUGUUCCGAUUCAUUCGUGUCACGCCUCCUGUAAACCACCACUGUAACCUCCACGGGUCAUGCGGCCGAAUUAGGCGCUGGCUCACUGGGAAAUUUCCCGCCAUUCCGGUGGCCUAGUCCGCCCAAUCGAAAAUUUCGUAACACCACUGGUAAAUACAUGCUUAUGGGCUACGACAUUUAACAUACUAUUUUAAUUCAUUAUACAUCACUGUCGCUGUCGAGUUUUAAUAAUUUAUUUAAUUUGCAGCUUCAACGGAACCGCCG